AGAUUGAACGCUGGCGGCAUGCUUUACACAUGCAAGUCGAACGGUAACGCGGGGGCAACCCUGGCGACGAGUGGCGAACGGGUGAGUAAUACAUCGGAACGUGCCCAGUAGUGGGGGAUAGCUCGGCGAAAGCCGGAUUAAUACCGCAUACGACCUACGGGUGAAAGCGGGGGAUCGCAAGACCUCGCGCUAUUGGAGCGGCCGAUGGCAGAUUAGCUUGUUGGUGAGGUAAAAGCUCACCAAGGCGACGAUCUGUAGCUGGUCUGAGAGGACGACCAGCCACACUGGGACUGAGACACGGCCCAGACUCCUACGGGAGCAGCAGUGGGAAUUUGGACAAGUGGGCGCAAGCCUGAUCCAGCAAUG
rnacentral:rRNA from 1 species